CAGGCUGGUUGGGCAAUCGCGGUUCUGCGUUGACGGGAUCGAGGAAAGUCCGCACUCCUAUAGAGCACGGCGUCGGAUAGCACCCGGGGCGGGGAAACUGCCGAGAGGCAUGAACCUGCCGGAUAAGGGCCACAGAAACAAACAGCCCUCCACUCUUUGGAGUGAGGGUGAUGGUGAAAAGGUGGUGUAAGAGACCACCGGCGCGCGCAGUAAUGCGUGUGGCCAGGUAACCCCCGCCGGGAGCAAGGCCAAGCAGGGGCGAUUUCGUCCGAGGACGAUGGGAGGCUGCUCGUCUCCAUACGUAUCCCUUCCUCUUGUGGGAGGGAUCAGCCCCGGGUAGGCUGCAUCGAGCGGUGCGGAGACGCGCCGCCCAGAGAGAUGAUUGCCCAAAUGGCGCAAGCCAUUGGACAGAAUGCGGCUUAUAGACCAGCCUGAGGA
rnacentral:RNase_P_RNA from 1 species